GACGAACGCUGGCGGCGUGCUUAACACAUGCAAGUCGAGCGGUAAGGCCCCUUCGGGGGUACACGAGCGGCGAACGGGUGAGUAACACGUGGGUGACCUGCCCUCAGCUCUGGGAUAAGCCUGGGAAACUGGGUCUAAUACCGGAUAUGACUCCAUGACGCAUGUCGUGGGGUGGAAAGCCUUGUGCGGCUGGGGAUGGGCCCGCGGCCUAUCAGCCUGUUGGUGGGGUGAUGGCCUACCAAGGCGACGACGGGUAGCCGGCCUGAGAGGGCGACCGGCCACACUGGGGACCGAGAUACGGCCCAGACUCCUACGGGAGGCAGCAGUGGGGAAUCUUGCGCAAUGGGCGAAAGCCUGACGCAGCGACGCCGCGUGAGGGAUGACGGCCU
rnacentral:rRNA from 1 species